rnacentral:rRNA from 1 species
UGGGGAAUAUUGGACAAUGGGCGAAAGCCUGAUCCAGCCAUGCCGCGUGUGUGAAGAAGGUCUUCGGAUUGUAAAGCACUUUAAGUUGGGAGGAAGGGCAGUAAGCUAAUACCUUGCUGUUUUGACGUUACCGACAGAAUAAGCACCGGCUAACUCUGUGCCAGCAGCCGCGGUAAUACAGAGGGUGCAAGCGUUAAUCGGAAUUACUGGGCGUAAAGCGCGCGUAGGUGGUUCGUUAAGUUGGAUGUGAAAUCCCCGGGCUCAACCUGGGAACUGCAUCCAAAACUGGCGAGCUAGAGUAUGGUAGAGGGUGGUGGAAUUUCCUGUGUAGCGGUGAAAUGCGUAGAUAUAGGAAGGAACACCAGUGGCGAAGGCGACCACCUGGACUGAUACUGACACUGAGGUGCGAAAGCAUGGGGAGCAAACAGG